rnacentral:rRNA from 1 species
UCCUACGGGAGGCAGCAGUGAGGAAUAUUGGUCAAUGGUCGGGAGACUGAACCAGCCAAGCCGCGUGAGGGAGGAAGGUACAGAGUAUCGUAAACCUCUUUUGUCAGGGAAUAAAGGCGGGGACGUGUCCCCGGAUGAGUGUACCUGAAGAAAAAGCAUCGGCUAACUCCGUGCCAGCAGCCGCGGUAAUACGGAGGAUGCGAGCGUUAUCCGGAUUUAUUGGGUUUAAAGGGUGCGCAGGCGGUCUGUUAAGUCAGCGGUCAAAGCCCGGGGCUCAACCCCGGCCCGCCGUUGGAACUGGCAGG